UACGUAGGGGGCAAGCGUUGUCCGGAUUCAUUGGGCGUAAAGAGCGUGUAGGCGGCCAGGCAGGUCCGCUGUGAAAACUCGAGGCUCAACCUCGAGAUGUCGGCGGAAACCAUCUGGCUAGAGUCCGGAAGAGGAGAGUGGAAUUCCUGGUGUAGCGGUGAAAUGCGCAGAUAUCAGGAAGAACACCCGUGGCGAAGGCGGCUCUCUGGGACGGUACUGACGCUGAGACGCGAAAGCGUGGGGAGCGAACAGG
rnacentral:rRNA from 1 species